rfam:Ovis aries breed Texel chromosome 17, whole genome shotgun sequence.
UCCCUGAUAGCUCAGUUGGUAAAGGAUCUGCCUGCAGUGCAGGAGACCCCGGUUCAAUUCCUGGGUUGGGAA